CAUAUUCAUAUGCUCUUGUUCCUUCUCAAAUAAUUCCAUCACUAAUACACAUUCCUUGCUGCUGCUUCCUGCUUUCGCUUUUGAAGUGCCCUUCCAUCCACUCCUCAGCUCUAUUCCCUGCAUAUCUCUAGGAGGCUGUGAGGGGAAGGAAUUAUUCUCUUUGUUUUCCACCUAAAGAAACAGAAGCUCUGGCAAUAGUCGGCUGCUUGCUCAAGGUGACACAGUUAAUGGAGAGGCAGAUCUCUGGAUGCGGCGUCUCAGGGGCCACGCCUGCCUCCCCCGCCGCCGCGCGCAUACACAGAAUUCCUCAUGCUGCUGCUAUCACGGAACUCAGGGGUUUGGCUGACUUUGUCUACUAGGAGCAGAGAACAAAGUGUGACUUGAACCAUGCACA
ensembl:lncRNA SOX9-AS1 SOX9 antisense RNA 1